rnacentral:lncRNA from 1 species
CAGUGUUGAGUUGUGUCCACGAGGUCUUAAUUUCAGCUUUCACCCCACAUAAAAAUACUCCUUUUGGAAUUGAAGAAGAUGAAGACAAUGAGAAAGAUGAAUUGGACAUUACUACUAAAAACGAGUAAGAAGAAGAAAUUAAUAAGAGUAGGAGAGUUUAAGUGGAGCAAGAGAAAAGGCUGAAAAGAAAUUUAAGUGGAGAAGGAGAAUUUAGGAGACAGAAAUGGUGGAUAUUAAGAAUUGAGUAUAAAAAGAGAAAGAAAGUGGGAAUUAGGGUUUUUUUUUUUAAGAAAUUGGGUAUAAAAAGAGGAUAAAAGAUCCGUUGGGUGCCACAUAAGCUAGUUCCAUAACAUUUCACGCGCCUCCCAGACGUGAGUACACGCAAACUGCCACGUCGGAAAAUUGGGCUCAAUUGAAACCAUUUCUGAAGGAGUAAAGGGUUCAAUAGGUACCUUUCUUAAUUUAGGUGCCUAUACGGGAAAAGUGAAAUAUUUCAAGGCCUGUAUAUGUAUUCCGUCUUUGAAAUAUAAUAAACUAUACGUGGUAUGCCAUUGUUGCUGCUACUAUGAGAAAAUGCAAAUCAUCUCUAAGAUGAUUCCAUUUUUUGACUUUACUGCUAUUGAGAAGAUAACAGCUGAUCCGGUUAGACGUAAUUCGGGUCUAUCAUUGUGUUUAUUUUUUGAUAGGGCACACUUAGAUAAUCUUUUUUCCUGUGUCUUUGCCAGUUGUUUAGUGAGAGAUUUGUCAGUAAAAUCAAUUAUCUCAGUGGAUAUAUUAUUUUAUCCUAACUGUUUAAGUAAAAUUAUCCUGCUUAUGACAUUUAGCCGUUGUAUCUUUUGUUAAUUAAUAUAAAUGUUUUGCACAGUAAAAUUGUGGUCUAUCUAAAGCUGUGUUGUUGGUAUAAUAAAUUUGUAGUUUAGUCACUAGAAUGAAUCUGGACAAAUGAGUUUGUGAACUCCGAAGAGUUGUAGUUGGUGUCUGAGAUUUAAGAGUUCUAGUUGAUUGCUAUUUUUGGCAGAUUCAAUGUUGUGGGACUUUGGGUCAUGGUAUGAUUUCAAAGUCUUCUUUUGUAUUUGUAGGUUCAGCGUUGUACGUCUGUGAUAUAAUAUGUUGAUAAACUCUGAGGUAGAUGAAUUUGCAAAUGUUUCUCCUAGACAUUUUGAACUAGCAGGGGGUUUUGAUUAGCCUUUGCCUCCAAUCAACUUUAAAGCUCUUGGAAAUUUAAUAACAACAUUCACACAAACAAAUCUAGAAGUUGUACCCAUGAAGAAAGAUAUAUGCAUUGGCGGCCCCCUCAACUUCAAUUAUAUUAGCAGCAGCCUUUACAUACAAUAUGUUUUUAGUGUGUAAUGACAACUGCAGAUUCUUUUGUACAUGAGUUACACACGAGUCACAAAAUUGCAUUUGAAGUAGAAAGAUUAAUCCAAAUAAUAACACUUCAAAAUACAUUCUCCAAGGAUUAUAGACAAUUUUUCCACAAAGACUGUUUAAGGGAAGACAUGAAAUUAGAGUUGCUUAAAAGAAUUCUGUCCAAGGCAACUUAUUUGUCCUCCUUCAAAAAUUGUGCUUCUUUCACUCAUAUUUGGCUCUCUAAUUUCAGAAUUUAUUUACAACACGUCCAGUGUCUCACAUCUAUAGUUAUAGUUCUAAUAAUCUAGACUUUCUUAUUCCUUCCUUGAUUUUUUCUGCAUAAGCUUUACACGUUGAUUUGGACCCUAUCAUAGAAUCAAGAUUAGCAAUAUGCUCUUUUCACCUGGCAAGAAGCUCUGUUAAAUAUCUUGAUGAGAUCCUUCCCUUCGUUGGCUUCUUUAUUUAAAGAGAAUCAGUCCCAGAGUCAUGUCUUCAAAGACUGAACAUCCAAGCUCGUUAUUCUAUAAAAAAAUUAUUAUGUUGAUUAUCCAAAAAGAGGAAUAUAUAUGUAGUAUGAAAAUUGUAAAUGAGUAUAACAUAUAUGUUGGUCCAAAUACAGUAAGAAAAGCUUUUAGAUUUUUAAUUGAAUACAUUAAAGAACUAAAUGCUAGGACUGAAUGCAUGGAUUUUGAUGCCGCACCCGUAUCGAAUUCUUCAAAAAUUAUAUUACUUUUGACGAAUUCGACACACAUUCAUUGACAUUUUUCAAGAAUUCGAGCUACAUAGACUAAAUGAAUAUUAAAUUAUCUUCCUUGAAUAAAACUUUGCAAGAAUUCUAAAUAUUUCAAUUCUUUAGCCAAUCAUUUUGAAAUGGAGAAGAGAAGAAUUUUUUUAAACUCUAUCACCUUUUACCUCAUACGAUCAUACUUAUCUAUUCAUUUUUCAUCCUUGGCAUGAAAUCAAAAUAUUCUUCAACAAAUAUGUCUAACUCAUUAAUGUGCAACUUGACAUUUUAGAAGGGUUAAAACGCUUCUCUUUUCUAGAGAGUAAGUAUGAAGAAGAUCAAAGAUCCAAUUGUACUGCAGUCUUCAUGCCCUUGGCAUAAUAUGACAGUAAUGUUUUACACGUCAUUGAGGAAAAAAAAAAGUUGAGAACAUUUUAACAGAGAACAUAAGGAAAUAUACAUUAUAUAUUUUAUUCACCAUUAUUUUCCCUCUUUCAUAUCUACUUUAAUUUGUUAUACUCGAGUCGAGGGUCUCCAAAACAGCCUCUCGUCCUCCAUGAAUUAAUGAUAAGGUCUACUUACACUCUACUCUCCCCAAACGCCACUAAAUAGUAUUUCAAUAAGUAUGUUGAUGUUGUUAUUAUUGAGAAAAUAAAGACAGGAGAAAUAUGACAAUCUUGAGAGAACACAUCAUCUAGAAUAUAUGGUGUGAGUGUCCUUUUCCAACAUUAUUUUCCAUGUAUUAAGACAGGCCACUGCAAACAGAGUAACUAAGGACUUCUGGAUGAUCAGAUCCAGAAUAAAUUGGCUCUCAGGUGGGGAUGCCAACACAAAAUUCUUCCACACCUCCACCAUGGUAAAAAGGAGGAAAAACAAAAUCUCCUACCUUAAGGACAAUGUAGGGAACCUCAUCACUGAUAGAUGACAUCAUUGACCACAUCUCUACCUUUUACCACCAACUCUACACUACUGACCACACUAGUAGUGCCAUUAUUGGGGCCCCUUAUCAAGAUGACACUAACACUUUCUCCCCCAGCCUGAGGUCCAACCUCAAUAGCCCCCUAAGGGAUACUGAGAUCAUCAAAGCUCUGAAAGGUUUCAAGCCCCUUAAAUACCCUGGACCUGAUGGUCUUCACCCUUCUUCUUUCAAAAAUACUGGGACAUUGUAGGAGAUGCCACUAAGGCUGUCUGUUAUAAGGUAUUUGAUGAAGCUAGGAUCCCGGAAGAGGUCAAUAAGACCCUCUUAUGCCUCAUCCCUAAAUGUCCCAAUGCCUUUUCUAUCAAGAACUUUAGGCCCAUUAACUUAUGCAACACUUCUUAUAAGCUCAUCACCAAAAUUAUUGUUAACUAAAUAAAACCCAUGCUUGGCACUAUUAUAGCCCCUACUCAAUCUAGCUUCCUAGAUAAUAAGAGAAUCUCUGAUAAUGCUAUCAUAUUCCAAGAAUAUGUCUCUCAUUUCAAAAAAAUAUGGGUCAUAAACCACCACGUCAUGAUCCUAAAGAUUGACUUAGAGAAAGCCUUCGAUAGAAUGGAAUAGUCUUUCAUCCACAGCUCUCUCCAGUUCUUCAACUUCCCCACCAAGCUUAUCAAGAUAAUUAUGUCUUAAAAGUCUACUAGUUCUAUCGGGGCAGCACCCCCUCUUUUAAUCCUACCAGAGGUAUCAGGCAGGGAAAUCCUAUAUCACCCUACCUGUUCAUCAUUUACAUGGAAAGACUGUUCAGAGACAUUGACAAUCAGGUGACCUACAAAAAUUGGACUCCUAUCUCUAUUACAGCUAAUGGCCCGAAAAUCUCCAGACCUCACUCUGAUUGCUAAAGCUAAUAGGAACAACUGUAAUGCAAUCUUCUCUACUUUCUUCAAUUCCAAUAGAACCUCCGAACAGCAAAUCAACAAAGCUAAGUCCAGAGUCUUGUUCUCACGCAAUACCUCCAGCCAAAAUACUUUUGAAUGUUCCAAUGCCCUAGGCAUUGAUAGGAGCAUUGAGUUUGGAAAACACCUUGGCUUCCCCAUCUUCCAUAAAGCCUCUAUGAAUGUUGAUUUCCAACUUAUCACUGAUAAUAUAUCCAGAAGACUAGCUGGCUGAAAGUAAAAAAUCCUCAACAUGACUGGCAGAUUUGUUCUUACCAAAGCUACUCUUAGCAGUAUGCCCAUCCAUAUUAUGCAGUACAUCAGGAUCCCUAGCAAAGUCCUUUAAACUAUUGAGAAAAUUGGAAACCCCCGGAUAAGGAAACCUUUAUGCUGAAUAUAAAUGGUGUUGUCCACUCUAACCCAGGCCGAGGGAGGGGAGAUGGAUUAGGGGGGUCAUUAGGAACCACAAAGAAGACUGGGUUGCUGGGUUUAAGGAUUGCACACCCCUAACCACCCUCCUCUAUGCCGAGUUAAAAGCCAUGUUGCAGGGACUGAGAGUAGCUAAGCCCCUCAACAUUAAGCCCUUCCAAUUGUGCUCUGAAUCACUGGAACUUGUCCAUGCAAUGGAACGAGGACAUGAUCUAUACACUAACAUUAUAUGUAAGUGCAGGUACCUAAUGCAGGAGCUUGGGGGCACCCGAUACCAAACACAUCUUCAAGGAGCAAAAUAGAGUAGCGGGUGCCAUGGUAAAGGAAGGCAGCAGCUGAAUACAAUUUGGAGUACCAUGUGUUUUGUCAUCUCCACCCUCAAAUGUAGUAGCCCUAGUAGAAACAGAAAAAAGGGUGUUGUUUUUGCAAGAACAGUAAAACUUACUAAUUUUGGCCUACAAGGCCGGGUUGUGGCCUCUUCUACUAACCCCACCCCUCAUGUUUUGAAUGGAGUUACAGCUUCAAUAAUUGCUACUUUGGUUUAAGUUGCUAAUAUAAUCCAUAUUAUAAAAAAAAAAAGAACCAUUAAACAUAAAAAAAAAAUAAUAAUAAUCUAUGCUUCAUAGGGGAAGAGUAGAAAAGUAGAAACUGGAACAAAAACAAAAUAGACCAACUACUAGUAUGUUCAUUGAGAAAAUCCGACUUGACAUAUCAAGAAGCUACGGAGAAGAUGAUGAAUCGGAGCCAGAAAGCUAUAAUAUGAAUCUAACCUUCUACAAUAAUAUCGUCAUACGAGGGAUGAAGAUCUUAAAUGAUAUCUCCCAAAAAUCAAAGAUAUAAUAUUCCACUUAGAAAAAUAGGUGCACCGUGUCGGCAAUUUAGCAUUGAUAUUUUGACAUUGAUAGAAAGUGUGUUUGGUAUGAAGGAAAAUAUUUUUUGGAAAAUGUUUUCCAAUUUUCUCAUGUGUGGUUGACUUACAAAUUUUGAAAAAU